rnacentral:rRNA from 1 species
GAUGAACGCUGGCGGCGUGCCUAAUACAUGCAAGUCGAGCGAACAGAUGAGGAGCUUGCUCCUCUGACGUUAGCGGCGGACGGGUGAGUAACACGUGGAUAACCUACCUAUAAGACUGGGAUAACUUCGGGAAACCGGAGCUAAUACCGGAUAAUAUAUUGAACCGCAUGGUUCAAUAGUGAAAGACGGUUUUGCUGUCACUUAUAGAUGGAUCCGCGCCGCAUUAGCUAGUUGGUAAGGUAACGGCUUACCAAGGCAACGAUGCGUAGCCGACCUGAGAGGGUGAUCGGCCACACUGGAACUGAGACGCGGUCCAGACUCCUACGGGAGGCAGCAGUAGGGAAUCUUCCGCAGAGGGCGAAAGCUUGACGGAGCAACGCCGCGUGAGUGAUGAAGGUCUUCGAAGCGUAAAGCUCUGUUAUUAGGGAAGAACAAAUGUGUAAGUAACUAUGCACGUCUUGACGGUACCGAAUCAGAAAGCCACGGCUAACUACGUG